rnacentral:rRNA from 1 species
GACGAACGCUGGCGGCGUGCCUAACACAUGCAAGUCGAACGGAAAACAUAGCAAUAUGUUUUUAGUGGCGAACGGGUGAGUAACGCGUAGACAACCAACCUUUUUGUGGGGGACAACACUUCGAAAGGAGUGCUAAUACCGCAUACACUCUUGAUGCCGCCUGGUGUUAAGAGGAAAGGAGCUUCAUGGCUUCGCAAAAAGACGGGUCUGCGUCUGAUUAGCUAGUUGGAGGGGUAACGGCCCACCAAGGCGACGAUCAGUAGCCGGCCUGAGAGGAUGGACGGCCACACUGGGACUGAGACACGGCCCAGACUCCUACGGGAGGCAGCAGUGGGGAAUCUUCCGCAAUGGACGAAAGUCUGACGGAGCGACGCCGCGUGAGUGAUGAAGGCCCUUGGGUCGUAAAGCUCUGUCAUCAGGGACGAACGGUCACGUCAGGAAAUGGGCGUGAAUUGACGGUACCUGAGAAGGAAGCCACGGCUAACUACGUGCCAGCAGCCGCAGUA